ACUCCUACGGAGGCAGCAGUGGGGAAUAUUGCACAAUGGGCGCAAGCCUGAUGCAGCCAUGCCGCGUGUGUGAAGAAGGCCUUCGGGUUGUAAAGCACUUUCAGCGAGGAGGAAGGCAUUAAGGUUAAUAACCUUGGUGAUUGACGUUACUCCCAGAAGAAGCACCGGCUAACUCCGUGCCAGCAGCCGCGGUAAU
rnacentral:rRNA from 1 species